rnacentral:rRNA from 1 species
CACGUAGGGCGCGAGCGUUGUCCGGAUUUAUUGGGCGUAAAGAGCUCGUAGGCGGUUUGUCGCGUCGUCCGUGAAAACUCACAGCUUAACUGUGAGCUUGCGGUCGAUACGGGCAGGCUAGAGUUCGGUAGGGGAGACUGGAAUUCCUGGUGUAGCGGUGAAAUGCGCAGAUAUCAGGAGGAACACCGGUGGCGAAGGCGGGUCUCUGGGCCGAUACUGACGCUGAGGAGCGAAAGCGUGGGGAGCGAACAGG